GAUGAACGCUGGCGGCGUGCCUAAUACAUGCAAGUCGAGCGAACAGACGAGGAGCUUGCUCCUCUGACGUUAGCGGCGGACGGGUGAGUAACACGUGGAUAACCUACCUAUAAGACUGGGAUAACUUCGGGAAACCGGAGCUAAUACCGGAUAAUAUAUUGAACCGCAUGGUUCAAUAGUGAAAGACGGUUUUGCUGUCACUUAUAGAUGGAUCCGCGCCGCAUUAGCUAGUUGGUAAGGUAACAGCUUACCAAGGCAACGAUGCGUAGCCGACCUGAGAGGGUGAUCGGCCACACUGGAACUGAGACACGGUCCAGACUCCUACGGGAGGCAGCAGUAGGGAAUAUUCCGCAAUGGGCGAAAGCCUGACGGAGCAACGCCGCGUGAGUGAUGAAGGUCUUCGGAUCGUAAAACUCUGUUAUUAGGGAAGAACAAAUGUGUAAGUAACUAUGCACGUCUUGACGGUACCUAAUCAGAAAGCCACGGCUAACUACGUG
rnacentral:rRNA from 1 species